UACGGAGGGUGCAAGCGUUAUCCGGAAUCACUGGGUUUAAAGGGUCCGUAGGCGGUUUAAUAAGUCAGUGGUGAAAGCCCAUCGCUCAACGGUGGAACGGCCAUUGAUACUGUUAAACUUGAAUUAUUAGGAAGUAACUAGAAUAUGUAGUGUAGCGGUGAAAUGCUUAGAGAUUACAUGGAAUACCAAUUGCGAAGGCAGGUUACUACUAAUGGAUUGACGCUGAUGGACGAAAGCGUGGGUAGCGAACAGG
rnacentral:rRNA from 1 species